rnacentral:misc_RNA from 1 species
UUCCUCAGCAUGCACUGGCUCAAAAACCGGUUCAAGUAACUUUGGUAAUUGCUCAUCUACUAGAACUCAUAAAAAGAUCCAAUGCUUUCACAAUGAUUCUACAUAAUAAAACUGAGGGUGAAAUUGUUCAUCAUGACUCAAACAGAAGAACAAGAUGGAAAUAGAUUCUUCACUUCUGUCAAAGCUUUCCAUUUAAUAUACCAUAACUUCUGAAUGUGUUCCAUUCCAAUCUUCCACUUGGAUCCAAUAGAAGUUCAAAGCCAUUAGAAUAGCUAAGCAUUACCUCAGCAUGAAUGACAGGGAUAAACCCUCAAAGAAAGUACAAGAUGGUGGCAGUAGAUCCUUCCUUGAUGUGAUGUUUUCAGUCAAUUCUUCUAUUAGAUGCGGCAACAUGAAAACUUCAUCUGCUAGAUUCUUUGUUAUCCAAUCUUCUAACACCCUUAAUUGAGAUUCUUUAUUGUUGCUACAAUCAGCAAACAGAAGCUUGAUAAUGGGGAGCAGAUCCAACUUUAAUGUUGAUUUCUCGCUGCACUCUGCAUCUAAACAGUUACCAGUGCAGUACCAUGAAUUAGGAUUUAAAAGAACAACUUGCAGCAUGGGAGAUUUGGUUGUCAAAUCCCUGACCACAGUCCGGAAUGACAACUCAUCUUUUGCACUUUCCAUUAGUUGAUUUGCGAACAUUUUCUCCAAAGUAUAUUUCCUGAAUAAGUCAUCUGAUCUACCAACUGACAAAGAAGUGGAAAGGUAACAUUUCAAAAGUCUAACUCCAUUAUCUACAGGGAAAUCACCGUUAGCACAGGGAUAAGCUCCGAGAACAGUUGAACAGUGAGGGCAAACAAAAUGUUUCCACUCAAUAUCCGUAGAAAGAUUAUAAGAUCUAGCCAUAAAAACAUUUCCAAGAAACCCAUUAAGAAAAGAUCUCCUAUUUGCCAUGGCCUCCACAGCUUUACUAGUCUUCUGGUCCGCUAAUGAAAGUUUAGACACCUCAUGUGUGCUUACAUCAACAUAGUCUUGAGCAGGAUGUGUUGAAUUGCAAAAUCCAGAUUCUGAUGCUACAUUUUCAGAGAGAUCUG